rnacentral:lncRNA from 1 species
UCGUUUCUCUUCGCAGGUCGAAUAAACUUAUAUAUAUAGGUAUAUAUGUAUAAAUAUAUAUAGGUAUGCAUAAAAGGUUUCAUAAACAUACGCGCGAGCAAAGUUUCGUCGUAGGUUUGUUGUUUCUUUCGCAAGAAGGAAGAACCGCGAAAUGCUAUCAUCGUUGGUCGUUUGCUAGUGGUGCCAGCGGCGGGGGUUAUCAUGUAGGCCACGUGACGUCAUAUCGUUCGCUGCCGCCAACAAAAUGGCUGCCGUUGUAUCUCGGUAGCGGGUCAGAACGGAAAAAUAAAAAUUUCUUCCUCCUAAGUAUACAUAUAUAAUAUUUGUUGAGAGGGAGGGGGAAGAGAGGCAAUUAUAUCUUCGUAAAGAAUAUAUGACAAAUAUCAGAAAAGAAGAUUCAGAAACGAAGGAAGGAAGGAACGUUGCGUGGCGCGUCGGCAGUGUCGAUCAUGUGACCUUGACACGACAGAGUUUUGAACGAUGAAGUUUGCCGCCGGUAUUAAAAAAGAAAAAGAAGAAAAAAA